UACGGAGGGGACUAGCGUUGUUCGGAAUUACUGGGCGUAAAGCGCACGUAGGCGGAUUUGUAAGUCAGGGGUGAAAUCCCGGGGCUCAACCUCGGAACUGCCUUUGAUACUGCAAAUCUCGAGUCCGGAAGAGGUGAGUAGAAUUCCUAGUGUAGAGGUGAAAUUCGUAGAUAUUAGGAAGAACACCAGUGGCGAAGGCGGCUCACUGGUCCGGUACUGACGCUGAGGUGCGAAAGCGUGGGGAGCAAACAGG
rnacentral:rRNA from 1 species